AGAGUUUGAUCCUGGCUCAGGACGAACGCUGGCGGCGUGCUUAACACAUGCAAGUCGAACGGAAAGGCCCCUUCGGGGGUACUCGAGUGGCGAACGGGUGAGUAACACGUGGGUGAUCUGCCCUGCACUUUGGGAUAAGCCUGGGAAACUGGGUCUAAUACCGAAUAGGACCGCAUGCUUCAUGGUGUGUGGUGGAAAGCUUUUGCGGUGUGGGAUGGGCCCGCGGCCUAUCAGCUUGUUGGUGGGGUAAUGGCCUACCAAGGCGACGACGGGUAGCCGGCCUGAGAGGGUGUCCGGCCACACUGGGACUGAGAUACGGCCCAGACUCCUACGGGAGGCAGCAGUGGGGAAUAUUGCACAAUGGGCGCAAGCCUGAUGCAGCGACGCCGCGUGAGGGAUGACGGCCUUCGGGUUGUAAACCUCUUUCACCAGGGACGAAGCGCAAGUGACGGUACCUGGAGAAGAAGCACCGGCCAACUACGUGCCAGCAGCCGCGGUAAUACGUAGGGUGCGAGCGUUGUCCGGAAUUACUGGGCGUAAAGAGCUCGUAGGUGGUUUGUCGCGUUGUUCGUGAAAACUCACAGCUUAACUGUGGGCGUGCGGGCGAUACGGGCAGACUAGAGUACUGCAGGGGAGACUGGAAUUCCUGGUGUAGCGGUGGAAUGCGCAGAUAUCAGGAGGAACACCGGUGGCGAAGGCGGGUCUCUGGGCAGUAACUGACGCUGAGGAGCGAAAGCGUGGGGAGCGAACAGGAUUAGAUACCCCGGUAGUCCAA
rnacentral:rRNA from 1 species